UUCUGGAAUCUUUCUCAGAUCCGGGAUCCGCUCGGUUCUGGAAUCUUCCUCAGAUCCGGGAUCCGCUCGAUUCUGGGAUCUUCUUCAGCUUCUGGGAUCUUCCUCAGCUCCGGGAUCUCUUCUUGAACUCUGGGAUCUCCUGAGCUUCAG